AACGAACGCUGGCGGCAGGCUUAACACAUGCAAGUCGAACGCCCCGCAAGGGGAGUGGCAGACGGGUGAGUAACACGUGGGAAUCUACCUAGCUCUACGGAACAACUCUGGGAAACUGGAGCUAACACCGUAUACGCCCUAACGGGGAAAAGUUUACUGGAGUUGGAUGAGCCCGCGUCGGAUUAGCUAGUUGGUGGGGUAAAGGCCUACCAAGGCGACGAUCCGUAGCUGGUCUGAGAGGAUGAUCAGCCACACUGGGACUGAGACACGGCCCAGACUCCUACGGGAGGCAGCAGUGGGGAAUAUUGGACAAUGGGGGCAACCCUGAUCCAGCCAUGCCGCGUGAGUGAUGAAGGCCCUAGGGUUGUAAAGCUCUUUCACCGGUGAAGAUAAUGACGGUAACCGGAGAAGAAGCCCCGGCUAACUUCGUGCCAGCAGCCGCCGUAAUAC
rnacentral:rRNA from 1 species